rnacentral:rRNA from 1 species
GACGAACGCUGGCGGCGUGCUUAACACAUGCAAGUCGAACGGUAAGGCCCUUCGGGGUACACGAGUGGCGAACGGGUGAGUAACACGUGGGUGAUCUGCCCUGCACUUCGGGAUAAGCCUGGGAAACUGGGUCUAAUACCGGAUAGGACCACUGCCUGCAUGGGUGGUGGUGGAAAGCUUUUGCGGUGUGGGAGUGGGCCCGCGGCCUAUCAGCUUGUUGGUGGGGUGAUGGCCUACCAAGGCGACGAAGGGUAGCCGGCCGGGGAGGGUGACCGGACACACUGGGACUGAGAUACGGCCCAGACUCCGACGGGAGGCAGCAGUGGGGAAUAUUGCACAAUGGGCGCAAGCCUGAUGCAGCGACGCCGCGUGAGGGAUGACGGCCUUCGGGUUGUAAACCUCUUUCAGCACCGACGAAGCGCAAGUGACGGUAGGUGCAGAAGAAGGACCGGCCAACUACGUGCCAGCCGCCGCUGUAA